rnacentral:lncRNA from 1 species
AGCGGAAGAGAGAGGUUACGCCGCUCUCGCGCCUGUGACCUUCAUCAGGAAUUUUUUCCCCCCUUCCAAUAUUAGAGGAAACUUUUAUUAUUUUUUCCUCGCUGGAAGAUCUGCAUAUUUAUAUAUCUCAGAGUGCGAGACAAGAUCCUUCGUAAUCCAAGUGUUGUGUUUCGAGUGUUAGUGAAGAAGAAAAAAAUAUAUGUGUUGUGGAUUCCUUUUGGGAAAUAUUAAUUAUUUUUAAUUAAUUAAUUAAAUAAGGAUUUGUGAUACGAUUCGAAAACGAAGAUUUUUUUUCGUCUCUUUGUUUUUGCAAUUGCAAGAUUCGUCAACAGAUUUUUGAAUUUUCUCGAAAAUUCCACCGGAUGACGCAACCACAGAAGAAGGACGAAGUUGCAGCCGUCAAGGAGUGAUUGCAAAUGACCCUUGCAAGAAAUGAGACAAAAGUGAAAAGUGAUAAAUAAAAGUAAAUGUGAGAAAAAAAAAGAAAAAAGGUAGUGUUUUUUCGAUUUUUUUUUUAAAGCUGAAAAUUUGAAAAUUUCGGAUGAAAUGUUGUAGAGAAGGUUAAUAUUUUUGUUGAAGAAAUAACACGAAAUUAAGUGAUGAAAUAACAGUCUUAAUGAUGAAAAUGAGAACGAACCAAAGUGGCGCAUAGGCCUAUUCUAGAAGAAAAAAAAAUAUAUAUCACCGAAGAAAAAGACUCAAAAUAAGAGUAAAAAUUAAGUGACGAGGAAAGAUUUGAAAAGAAUUGAAGAACAUAGAGAGAAUAAAUAAGGAGAGAAAGAAAAAUAUAUAGGCCUAUAGAACGCCAAAUAAAGAAAUAAGGAAGAAAAACAAGAAACAAAAGAAUUAAGAAAAAAAAUCCUCUCCACAUGUGACUACCCCCACCCCCCAACCCCCAACCCCCCCACUCACCCAAACGCAUACCCACCCCCUCUCACCUCAUAUGAGACUCCCUACCCACCCACCUCCCAAAACACACACCUCAUAGUUCAACAUGAGGCCUCAUAUGCUGUUCUACCUAUGGAUGAUGUUGGUGACCGUAUUGACAGCGCGGUCUGCCGUAUCGCUUGAAACAGACCAGUGCGACGCCGCCCUCGGGAUGGAGUCGGGCGCGAUUCCCGACGAACACAUCUCGGCCUCAUCCUACUUCGAUGCCGCCGUCAACGCCAUCUAUGGGAGG